rnacentral:misc_RNA from 1 species
AAAAAAAAAAAAAAAAAAAGUAAUGCUAUUAAAUCAAUGGCAGUAUAUCUGAAGUAUUUCAUGGUUUUGAUGCACGGUUGUGAUUCAACCUGUCUACUUUGGAUAUCUUGGUUCUUUAAGAUGGAAGGAUGGUUACUGAAAGAUUUUUCUUGUAAGAGCUCUUUUACCCUUACAUCAUGCAAUGGCACUGCUUUAACAAUAAAACUGUAGGUAUAGAGGGAAAUGUUUUGCUAAUUUGCCUCCUGGAGGGGUGGGAGACAUUCUGCUUGUCCUUGCAGGUUUACUAGUUCAGCAGUUAUCGUGGCCGAAUCACCAUUCAGCUGUAUCCACUUUCAGUUUCUUCCUGAGUUGUGCAGUUUUGUCUGUAAUUACAGGAUAUCCAGUAUACUGGAGCUUAUCCAUAUAGCCUGCUUCCUCAUUAUUCCAAGAACUUGUAUUCAGGACUAUAGUGUCUGUUAAGACUGAAGGGGUAGUAGCUGCCUGAAUCAUAAUUUUAGCCAUUAUUAUUAUUAAUACAAUCUAACAUUUCUGUUUGCAGUCAAUUACUUUGAUUUGUAAUUCUAAUUAAAUUGAUCAAGGGAAGUUUAUUAAUGCUAGAAUUAACAAUUGUUAUAUCCACUAUAGUGGAAAUUGUAUUUUCUUAAUGUGCACAGCAGUUGGUGGUUCACUAUAAUCUCUAUUAAGAGUAGAUGGCUUGUAAUUGCAAUUAUUGAUCAUUGUUUCUGAAUGCUAUGAUCCACCUGCUUGCUUGACAUUUGCUAACUUGAAAGAAUAAUUCCUUUUGCAAUGGAAUGCUGAUUUUUUAUUUGAAUAAUUAACCAAAAUGGUUUGAGUUGUCCCCACCACAUGACAUGAUUCAAUGUGUGUUUCCUCAUCUAUGUAUCUACUACUAUUUAUGACACCUCUUUUUUUUUUUUUUUUU